rnacentral:rRNA from 1 species
GAUGAACGCUGGCGGCGUGCUUAACACAUGCAAGUCGAACGGAAAGGCCCACGCUUGCUUGGGUGCUCGAGUGGCGAACGGGUGAGUAACACGUGGGUGAUCUGCCCUGCACUUUGGCAUAAGCCUGGGAAACUGGGUCUAAUACCGGAUAGGACCAUCGUUUAAUGUCGGUGGUGGAAAGUUUUUUCGGUGUGGGAUGAGCUCGCGGCCUAUCAGCUUGUUGGUGGGGUAAUGGCCUACCAAGGCGCCGACGGGUAGCCGGCCUGAGAGGAUGUACGGCCACAUUGGGACUGAGAUACGGCCCAGACUCCUACGGGAGGCAGCAGUGGGGAAUAUUGCACAAUGGGCGCAAGCCUGAUGCAGCGACGCCCCUUGGGGGAUGACGGCCUUCGGGUUGCAAACUCCUUUCGCCAAGGACGAAGCGUUAUGUGACGGUACUUGGAGAAGAAGCACCGGCUAACUACCUGCCAGCAGCCGCGGUAAUACGUACGGUGCGAGCGCUGUCCGGAAUUACUGGGCGUAAAGAGCUCGCAAGUGCCUUGUCGCGUCGUUUGUGCAAUACCCCACCUUAACUGUGGGGUUGCACGCGAUACGGAUAUAACUUGGGUGCUGUAGGGGAGACUGGAAUUCCUGGUGUAGCGGUGGAAUGCGCAGAUAUCAGGAGGAACACCGAUGGCGAAGGCAGGUCUCUGGGCAGUAACUGACGCUGAGGAGCGAAAGCAUGGGUAGCGAACAGGAUUAGAUACCCUGGUAGUCCAUGCCGUAAACGGUGGGCGCUAGGUGUGAGUCCCUUCCACGGGGUUCGUGCCGUAGCUAACGCAUUAAGCGCCCCGCCUGGGGAGUACGGCCGCAAGGCUAAAACUCAAAGGAAUUGACGGGGGCCCGCACAAGCGGCGGAGCAUGUGGAUUAAUUCGAUGCAACGCGAAGAACCUUACCUGGGCUUGACAUACACCAGAUGGCUGUAGAGAUACAGUGUCCCUUGUGGUUGGUGUACAGGUGGUGCAUGGUUGUCGUCAGCUCGUGUCGUGAGAUGUUGGGUUAAGUCCCGCAACGAGCGCAACCCUUGUCUUAUGUUGCCAGCGGUUCGGCCGGGGACUCAUGAGAGACUGCCGGGGUUAACUCGGAGGAAGGUGGGGAUGACGUCAAAUCAUCAUGCCCCUUAUGUCCAGGGCUUCACACAUGCUACAAUGGUCGGUACAACGCGUGACGACACCGUGAGGUGAAGUGGAUCGCUGAAAGCCGGUCGUAGUUCGGAUUGGGGUCUGCAACUCGACCCCAUGAAGUCGGAGUCGCUAGUAAUCGCAGAUCAGCAACGCUGCGGAGAAUACGUUUCCGGG